rnacentral:tRNA from 1 species
GAGAUUUUAGUUUAUUGAGAAUUUUUUAUUUACUAUAAAAAGGUAGAAGUCUUU